rnacentral:misc_RNA from 1 species
UAAAAUUUUUCUUACAUAUUUUUUUAAAAUGUGUAAAAAAAAAUCUUGUAUUCAAAACCCACACUCUUUUAAAACCCAUAAUAAAAAAAUUUUUAUGUUUAUAUACAUGAAAUUUUUUUAUUUAAAAAUAAUAUAAUAAAAAGA